AGGGGAGGAGGAGGAAGAGAGGGGAGCGGGGGCAGCCGGAGGAGGGGUGGGCAGACGGAAAUGAUCAGCGGAGCAACGGGGAGAUCAUUUGAACGCUCCUAUUUUCGUUUUGUUCAACUUCGAUGGACGUCGCAGUGGCAACGGCAGAAUGUCAGACCCACUCUGCUGGCGGGAGGCGGUGGGGAAGGCCGAAGGCCGCGGAGACUGCAAAGCAAUAAGAGGCUUGUCAGAAGGGCCGCUUACGUGCAGUUCCUCGUUAGUAUAGUGUUCUGUGGCUCCCCCUCCCCGAUGUCAGAGGUGCUCCAAAUAACCUGAGACCAGCCAGAUCAGAGCCUUCCUUCAGGCCACAGUUCAGAGGUGACCAGGUGAGCCAGGUUUGGCUAAUGAGAGUGAAUCCUGGGACAUGAUGGGAGCUCAUGGAGAGACACACAUGAUUCCGUUGUAAGUCUGGAGCUGCUGGAAGCCUUCUGUUGUCACCGUGUCCCUGAGGAGAGAGCCAAACUGAGGAUCUGGAGAAAGGAAUGAAGACUGCCAGCUGCAAGGUGGAUUCUGGGUGACCUAUGCCUGAAUCAGCCACGGAGAAGACCCCAUUCUCUAGAAUAAAGGAUCUGCAGCAGGACAGAUGGAAUGCUCUGUCAUGAUGAGGAUGUUCUUAAUUGAAGCUGAUGAAUUUUGGCUGGACCUGGGGAUGUCCAAGAAUGGCUGUGGUUCGCAGACUCCCUUGUAGUUCAGUGCAGCCACAUGACUCAGUUGUAUGUGAGGAGAAAUGGGAUCUGCAAUUUUAGUGUCCCAUCCUUCAAAGGACACUGCUUGCUCUCUAUGUCCUCUUUUCCUUGCUCCAAGGAUGGGGCUGUAGUGAGCUGGCUUUGACCAUGAAAGCAAGGAUCACAGAAUGAGGACGAGCCGAGCAACAUAGAGGGAACCCGGUCCCUGGAUGUGCUUAUGGGACAAAGCAAUGUACGUGCCUGCCCUAAAUAUAUCUUUAGAUUAUUAUAUGAAUACGAAAUCAACCUCUGUCUUGUUGAAAUCACCAUAUUUUGGAGUGUCUUUGUUACAGCACCUUAGCCUGUUCUCUAACUAAUAUGGAGAGGUUAAGUAAUGUGUGCAAGAUCACAAUGGUAAUAAAUGACAGCAAGUGGAUUUUAACUCUGGUAGGAUUUGAAUCCAGAGCCCAAGCUGACUGUGCAAUAACAAGCCAGCACCCAAACUUAACUACUAACUAUAUAAUAAGAUCUUGUUCCUCCCAAAAUUCAUAAUCUCCAGGCAAGACCACCCCUUGUAUUGCGCUUUGAAGGACAGUCAAAUGAGCUCUGAAAUACCAAUUGUCUAAUCUUUUCACUGGAUAACUGGAAACCCCAUGAUCAUUCCUUUCUUUGAGGGAGUAGAGAUCUGGUUAAAAUGUAAACACAAAGUGAGAGAAGCAACACAAAAAUCCAUCAUCACCACGAAGUCUUGGUGCUAGUUAAUUCCUCAUCCUGUCCGACCUGUCAGGGUUGAGAUAGAGUGGGAAAUGGGGCAGAUGAAAUUCGAUGGAAUGCUAUGAAGGAGGUGGGUAAAACAGUGUGUGGGGAGAGCAGCAUGUUUGGAAAGGAAACAGAAGAAUCCUUUGCCUUUCUGAAGGAAGAUAUGGUAGACAGACAUGUCUUCUAAACGCCUUCAAAGACACCCAAGUCCAUGUCCCCAUCCCUGGAUCUGUGAGUACAUUGCAUGACAAAGGGAUUCCAUAAAUGAAGGACCUUGAGAUGGAGAGAUUAUCCUGGAUUAUUUGGGUACCCAAGCUUUGAUCUCCAAGCUACACUUAGGGGACCUUAUAUGGGAAAGAGGGAGUCAGGAGAGAGAGUCAGAGAAGCCAAGAUGGUGACAGAAGCAGAGGUCAAAGGAAGAGAGGUUUGAAGAUGCUACACUGCUGGCUUUGAAGAGUGAGGAAGGGGCUAGGAACCAAGGAAUGUGGCUCCAUCUAGAAGCUGGAAAAUUCUCCUCAAGAGCCUCCAGGAGAAUGAAGCCCAGCUGACACCUUGGCUUUAGCCAAGGUGAAGUCAUUUUGGACUUCUGAUUUCCAGAGUACAUUUUUUAAAGCCUCCCACUUUGUGGUGCUUUUUUUAGCCACAGGAAAUACUACAAGGAGUGUGGUUGUCGGGGAAACAAGUGGCACAUGUAUAGACUUUCUGUAAUGGUUUUACCCAUGGAGGUAUGGGCACUGUUAAGGGUAUAAAAAAGGGAUGGAGAAGAAUCAAGAGAUCAACAACAGCAAGAAUCCAAUACCAUCCUGAGAUCUGAGGCCAUGGGGGAAAGAGGUGUCACUGAAGACCAAGAAGAGCUGGAGUCAUGAAGAAGCCACCCAAGAAGAAGCUGUAGCCACAGAGGGUGGGCUAUGGGUUGGGCUGAUUUCCCAAAGGUGCCUCUUAGGUACACUAAGCUCUGAUGGCAAAGAAUUCUUUACAAGACUUUGUAAAGAGCUCCUGGGGGGCUUAGUCAGUUAAGCAUCUGCCUUUGGCUCAGGUCAUGAUCCCGGGGUCCUAGGAUUGAGCCCUUCUUUGGGCUCCCUACUAAGUGGGGAGCCUGCUUCUCCCUCUGCCUCUCCCUGCCUCUCUCCUUUGCUUGUGCUCUCUCUCACUGUCAAAUUAACAAAUAAAAAUCUUAAAAAGAAAAAAAAGACUUUUGUCCCUAAAAAAGAUUCACAAUGGAUUCCUCACUCCAUCUUUGAGGCCAACAGACAAUAGUAACAGCUGUCUUAAUGAGAAAAGACCUCCAUUAGACCCACUUAUUUUAGGUUCUCAACUCUUGUUCUAGCUUUUUCUUUGUCUUGAAUAUGUAAAAAUGCUUUGAAUGAUUAUGACUUAUGCUUCUUAUUUCAAGACAUCCUUUUAAUGGAAAAAACAUAUAUAAAUGGAUUAUAGGGUAUAAAAAGAAAUGCAGUUACCCAUGCAUGCAAAAGCCUACCUCAUUGGCCAAAGCUGUAAGCUGAGUACCACCAUGCACCUUGGGGCAGUGACCCAUAUUUCAAGCAAAGUAGCAAGGGGAAAAUUUAAAGUGCCCCAAGUUUUAAUAUAGCGUAUGGGGUAGUGGUUACCCGAAUCUUGCAUGUCAUACCCAGAAUCAAUUGGGGGAAUGUGCAAGGGGGAAUGGGUACUUUGAUCUUUUCAUAGUUUCCUUCUUGGUAAAUAAAUGUGUAUUUUCAAGCUGAAUCUCAUCGUGCAAUUUCCUGCCAACUUUAGUUCUCUGUAAAACUUACCUUCACUUUUUCCAUCUCUGCCCCCAGGCAUUCAACACUUUACCUUUUGAAUGUCUAGAUUGAAAUAAAAUAUUUUAGAGAAAUGAGGCAUGUGAUAACGGUCCCCACAGCCUUCCACCCACCCCCAGCAUGACAGUAAUUUGGUCCUCUGUGUUUACUCAAACUUCACAAUUGCCCCCUGAUUUAUAUUAAAUGUAGCUACAUUUGAAGACUUAGAGGUAAUCUAAGUGGAAACAGCUUGACUCUCUAAAGAAAAAAAAUAAACAAAAAUCAGAGUAAAAUAAUUACAAGAGAAUUGGAAGAACAGACCCAAUUUUGUCACUAAUAAUUUUUAGAAUUUGUAGAGUGUCAUUUGUUAUUACUCUCCGUUUCCACCUCUCCAGCCAAAACAAGUUCUAAGCCCAUUUGGAUGUAUUUUUAUGGAUGAAGUCAAUGAAUUUAACAUGAUAACUUUUAAACCAUUUUAAAUCCGAGUAAAUUAUGUAGUGAAAUCCUGUUCAUUUGGAUUUUGUCCAUGUUUGCCAUGAUUUAGAUACGAGCUGGUUUAAAGGUUACUUUUCCAGUUACUGUGGGAAAGAGUUUACUAGGGAAAUAAUAUAAGGAAGAUUUUUCAAUCUAUUUAAAAAGUCAGAUGGCUUCCAAGUACUUGAAAAAGUUUUGAUAUUUUCAGUUUGCAUAUAAAUAACUUAUUUUGAUAAUGGUCAAUGACUAUCAAGGUUUCUGACUUCACUGAUAUUUACACAGGACUUUCUAAGCUUACAAAACAUUUCUGAGAGUCAGGAUUUUGGUUCCCACUAUAUAGAGACAUUCAUUCAUUUCUUCAUUUAACAAAUAUUUUGUUGAAUACCUUCCAUGUGCCAGGCAUUGAUCCAGGUGCUAGAAAGAAAACUGCCAGAUUAAACCAGGACCUACACCCAAGUUCUGUUCAUCCUCUCACCCCCCUCCCUCACACACCCUAGGGACACCCCCACUAAGUGUUGAACCUGGAAGGCCCUUUAAGGACAGAGGAUAUGUUUCAGCUAUCUGACUCUCUGAAUGCCCAGUAUCUAGAACUGAGUUUGGCACCUAGUAGAUGCUCAACAAACAUUUGCUGAAUGAAAAACUCCUGACUCCUAGUCCAGGGCUCAUUUGCUAGAACACAGCUAAUACUUGUUUAGAGUAUUAGCUGUUAGGUGCUGGGCUAAGAGGUGGGUAGUAUUAUUAUUCUCUUCACUUAAGAGAUGAGAACGAUGAAAAAUAGAGAAGAAAAAAAAGUCGAAAGUAACUUGCCCAGGGUCACAUACCUAAUAAGUGGUAGAACCAGAAUCUGGGUGCAGGAAAGUUUGAUUCUGAUACUACCCUCUAAAGGUAACUCUGCCUCUAUGGCUAACUCUGAACUGUUAGGUAGCUAUGUGCUAAAAUUCAAGAUCUGUAAAGGCAGGGAUUUUGGUGUGGUUUGGUUUUUCUUAGAGUAAUUUGCAUUUUUUCCAUUUUUUAAAAAUUUAAAUUCAAUUUGCCAGCAGGGAUUUUUGUACUUUCGUACUACUGUAUUUCCAGAGCCAAGAACGUGCUUGAAACGCUUGGGCACCAGGUAUGCUCUCGGGACAGAUAUAGAUGGAAUAACUAGUUUCAUUAAAGAUGAUCUAACAGGACCUUCAUUUGUUUGCAUGUUGUUUGACAUUUGCUGUGUUAUUGACAAUAGUAGACGCUGUGGGUUGCUAUUUCCAGCCCAUUGCUCCAGUGGGAAUGGCUCUGAUUCUGUGUCCAUGUCUUUCACACAUGACUCAGGUAAGAGGCAUCCUUGGUACUGCUCCAGUGGGUAAAGCCCAGGGGUGCUGCUGAACAUUCUAUAGAACCCAGGGCAAGCUCCCCACAAGGGAGAGUCAUCCAGUCCAGGAUGUCAGUGGUGCUGAGAUGGAGAAACCCUGGUCAAAGCCAAUGACAGUGGUUCCAUUUCUCCUGCGGUGAGUGCUUUAGCUCUGAUCACCGGAAGUAAUUCCGGUCAAUGAGACGUGAGCAGAAGUCCACAUGGGGAGUGUGGUGGAGAAUAUUCAUGACCCCCCCUUGUUCAUUUUGCCUUUUCAGUAGCAGCAGUCCUCCAGGGUGAGCCAGGCAGAUGCCCAACUACUGUACUUCUCAGGCUCCCCUACUGCAAGGUGGGGCCAUGUGACGGUGUUGGUCCACGAGCUGUGAGAAAAAGUGUUGAGUCUAAUUUCUGGAGCACGUUUUAAAUAAGGAAAUUGCUAUUGUCGUUCACGGUGUCUCUUUUCCACUUUCUUCAAACUGGCAGUUGAUAUUUGUGAUCCAGCUUGAAGCAAACGCGCAACUCCAGGGCAUGGCACGGUAACAAGAUAGACUUAGUUACGUGGGCAUUGGCACAUGAGAGAUAAACAAGCUUUCCUGUUUAAACCAUCGUAUUUUUGAGACUUUCCGUUCUAGCCGCUUAACUAGUAUUCUAAGAUGGAGUGCUUCUGACUAAGCAUUUCCUCUCUGAUAAAACACACAUCCUUACACACUCACACCCCCCCCCCACACACACACGAAAUGGCUGUUUGUCCAAAGAAUGUUGUGGGAUUUAUGUGGAAUGUCUGGAACCAUGGCUGCCAUCUUGUGACCAUGAGGUAAGGUAGCCAGAGGGUCAAAGCUGACCUUCUAAGUGAGAAUGGCAUAGGAUAGUUGUAAAAAACUUAAAUCUUUCUAGACAUUGUUGAAGCAUUGAAUUAACUAACUUUGUUUCUGUCCUACCACGGGACUUCUUGUUGAGCAAGCUAGUAAAUUCACAGUAUCAUAACAGUUAUUUUGAGGUGUUCUUUUAAAAAGAAUUAUAGCCCUCUCCUAACUGAUUCCCUCUAUGUAUUCGAGCAUAAAGAUUUUUCGUGUCAUCAUAAGAAUUCGGAAUUUUUUUUUUACCAACUUAUCUUGCCUUUCUCCUUAUUUGCUACACCCUCUCCAAGUUAAUUUGAAUCUGUGAGGUUUCUAUACUUGAGGUGAGUAUGUGGGAAAAACAUGCACUACAAAUCCUUUGAGGAAAUGAGGAUGCAGGGCAGCAGUAAUUGCCACUGUGAUGCUUCUUGCUUAGAAUGAAGUUGAAUGGGAGGCUCGGUUUCCAAAAAGUCAAGAGUAGGAAUUGUGUGGGCUGUGAGCUGCAGCUGUGGUGGUGGUGAUGGAGUGGAGGUGCGGGGUCAGCCUCAGGGAAUGUUGGGUCCACGUCAGUGGUAUCCCCUAGCAUUCUGCAGUGCACGACCUGCUCAAAUACCGUCGGUCCUCCCAGAUUAGAGGGUGCCCACAUCCAGUAUUUUCAACCAAUUAUUUCCAUCUCCUUUGCUCCCUCACGGCCCUUCCCUAGUUGUGCUGUUUGGACGCUCCCUGAAGCCAUGAAGCUCAUGCUAACGGGUUUGCAAUGAAGGCACACUCCUCAGGUGACCUUGAAAUGAUGGCAACGGCUGUUCCCUGGAGGCAAUGACAGAUCCUCUCUGCUUUCCUCUUGGCAGGUGAUGGAGAGAAGGGCCUUUGCUCUCUCUGUUUUUUACAUCUAGGCACCCACCACGGAAAGGCCAGCAUGCAGGUGAAUUUCCAUUCACUUCCUACCAGCAGCCAGCCCCUCCUUUUGGACUCAUCUUGAAUCAUUUGCCAGACCAGCCAAUUAGUCUCUUCACCUUUCCUGAAGCUUCACCAGGGAAGGGAUAUCACAAGCAGCAACUCCCUCAUUAUCCCACUUCUUCUAAGCACUGUGAUUCUCAGUGCCCGCCAUGGGAGAAGAAGCUAAUUUGCACGAGACUCUUUAACCCUUCCUUGAAAGACUUCGGUCUCAAUCCUUCUCUCUCUCUUUCUCAUACACACAUACACAUGCACACACACAGCAUCUACACCCUCGUCCAAGGUAGGAAACAAGGUGAGAGUACGCAGCAUUCAAGAGUACAUUUGAAAGUGAGACAUAAUUUCAGAUGGAGUUGUAAUUGAGAGAGAGAUCAUGAUUCGAUUUAAAUACAGUCUGGAAGGAAAAACACAGGGAUUGUAUUUCCCGAUCCCCACUAUGGCACAA